rnacentral:rRNA from 1 species
CGACUUAACAAAGGGAAGCAAGACCGCGAGGUGGAGCAAAUCCCCAAAAAGUGUCCCAGUUCGGACUGCAGUCUGCAACUCGACUGCACGAAGUCGGAAUUGCUAGUAAUCGCGGAUCAGCAUGCCGCGGUGAAUACGUUCCCGGGCCUUGUACACACCGCCCGUCACACCAUGAGAGUCGGGAACACCCGAAGUCGGUAGUCUAACCUCGUGAGGACGCCGCCGAAGGUGGGCUUGAUAAUUGGGGUGAAGUCGUAACAAGGUAGC